rnacentral:rRNA from 1 species
AUUGAACGCUGGCGGCAUGCCUUACACAUGCAAGUCGAACGGUAACGGGCCUUCGGGUGCCGACGAGUGGCGCACGGGUGCGUAAUACAUCGGAACGUGCCCGAUCGUGGGGGAUAACGAGGCGAAAGCUUUGCUAAUACCGCAUACGAUCUACGGAUGAAAGCAGGGGACCGCAAGGCCUUGCGCGGACGGAGCGGCCGAUUGCAGAUUUGGUAGGUGGGGGGAUAAAAGCUUACCAAGCCGAAGAUCUGUAGCUGGUCUUAGAGGGAGAUCAGCCACACUUGGAACGAGAACCGGCCCAGACUCCCACGGGAGGCAGCAGUGGGGAAUUUUGGACAAUGGGCGCAAGCCUGAUCCAGCCAUGCCGCGUGCAGGAUGAAGGCCUUCGGGUUGUAAACUGCUUUUGUACGGAACGAAAAGCCUUCUUUUAAUACAGGAGGGUCAUGACGGUACCGUAAGAAUAAGCACCGGCUAACUACGUG